rnacentral:rRNA from 1 species
GAUGAACGCUAGCUACAGGCUUAACACAUGCAAGUCGAGGGGUAGCAGGGUAGCAAUACCGCUGACGACCGGCGCACGGGCGAGUAACACGUAUCCAACCUUCCCAUAACUCGGGGAUAGCCUUUCGAAAGAAAGAUUAAUACCGGAUGGUACUUUUUCAAGGCAUCUUGAGAAAGUUAAAGAUUUAUUGGUUAUGGAUGGGGAUGCGUUCCAUUAGAUAGUUGGCGAGGUAACGGCUCACCAAGUCUUCGAUGGAUAGGGGUUCUGAGAGGAAGGUCCCCCACAUUGGUACUGAGACACGGACCAAACUCCUACGGGAGGCAGCAGUGAGGAAUAUUGGUCAAUGGGCGAGAGCCUGAACCAGCCAAGUAGCGUGAAGGAUGAAGGUCCUAUGGAUUGUAAACUUCUUUUAUAGUAGAAUAAAGUGAUCCACGUGUGGAUUUUUGUAUGUAUACUAUGAAUAAGGAUCGGCUAACUCCGUGCCAGCCGCCGCGGUAA